GACUGAUAAGAGGACUGUGAUGGAACUGUCUUGCUUGUCCAGGCUCUGAGGUAGGGAUGGGACCAAGCUGCAAACUUCAUGUACUGACCUGUGGCUGCUUAACUACGGGUAGUAGAAUCAAACCUGGGACUGUCAGUACCAAAAGUGCACAUCCUUACUACUUGAGCUAAAGGAUCCACCAUAGAGUAGUAAACCCAAGAAACGCAGACAAAAUCAUUUGGUCCUGGACCGGAUCUUUCAGGAACAUCCCAGCGUUAUUUCUUCACCAUAGGACGAAGAGCCUGAAUCAUUGCAGUGGGAGAGCUGACUGUACCUGCUUGUUGCUGGUGUUGAGAGUCCCAGGUCUGCAGAUCACCAGAGGGCCCACUAAGCCGGAACUGGUAUCUU